rnacentral:rRNA from 1 species
AGAAUCAACGCUGGCGGCGUGCCUAACACAUGCAAGUCGAACGCGAAAAGGGCUUCGGCUCUUAGUAGAGUGGCGAACGGGUGAGUAACACGUGGGUGACCUACCUUCGAAUGGGGGAUAACGUCCCGAAAGGGACGCUAAUACCGCAUAACAUCCUGCUUUUGAACAGGUGGAGAUCAAAGCCGGGGAUCGCAAGACCUGGCGUUUGAAGAGGGGCCCGCGUCUGAUUAGCUAGUUGGUGAGGUAACGGCCCACCAAGGCGACGAUCAGUA